rnacentral:rRNA from 1 species
UACGGGGGGGGCAAGCGUUGUUCGGAAUUACUGGGCGUAAAGGGCGCGUAGGCGGCCUGCUAAGUCAGACGUGAAAUCCCCCGGCUCAACCGGGGAACUGCGUCUGAUACUGACAGGCUUGAAUCCGGGAGAGGGAUGUGGAAUUCCAGGUGUAGCGGUGAAAUGCGUAGAUAUCUGGAGGAACACCGGUGGCGAAGGCGGCAUCCUGGACCGGCAUUGACGCUGAGGCGCGAAAGCUAGGGGAGCAAACGGG